CCCUUAUUACCCCUAUUAGCUGUAAUAGCCAUUCCCCCUUCAGCGCCGAUUAGGGAUUCCAUUCUCGUUUCUUAUUUUCUAUUCCAUUUUCUGCCAUCAUCAAGCUUCAUCCUCUCGGACGUUUCCCUUCCAUAUUGUAGAGUCAAACGGCGUUAAGGGUAAAAUCAAGUGAGAAAAUGCUGAAGAGAGUGUUGUUAGCGAGAGAGAAAAGAGACCCAAGUCGAAGUCAAUACCCAAAUCGAAGCUGAAGAAGAAACCCCCACUGCUUUCUUUUACUUCUUGGAGGAUUUUCGUAAGGAAUUUCAAGAGCAGAAUCCGGACAUCAAGUCAAUGCGCGAUGUAUGUUAUGGUUUAAAAACACAAAAUCUUAUUUAGGGGAAAUGUCAGCAUUCUCAACUAAAUUAGUUAGUUAACAGGAUUCCUUGUGAGCCAAGAUUGCAUUAAGCCACUCUGUGAUCUACUAAUAUGUCUAGAUCCACGAAUUGUGAUGGUGUGCCUGGAGGGGCUUGAGAAUAUUCUGAAGGUUGGUGAGCCUAAUAAGGAAAUGGGAAUGAAUGGUGGAAUCAAUCUAUAUGCACAAAUGAUAGAUGAGUGCGAUGGGUUGGAUAAAAUUGAAAACCUGUAAACUCAUGACAACCAUGAGAUAUACGAGAAGGCUGUGAAGAUCUUGGAGAGAUACUGGGCUGAAAAGGAAGAAGAUGAACAGAAUAUCCAAAAUGGUGAGGAUAAAAUGCUGCAAGGCUUUAAUUUUGGAGUGAACCAGCAGCCAAGUGUUCCACCUGGUGGCUUCAAAUUUGGUUGAAGUGUUUUUAGUUUGGGAAUUGGGGCCAUAGUUUUGUAGGUCUACCACAUUGGUCGCAAUGAAAUUAUAUUAAGUGGCCUUACAAUACAUAAAUUUAUCAUUUCUUUUGAAAAGAAAAGAAAAAAGCAAUUAUAUUAGUA